rnacentral:rRNA from 1 species
CUCCUACGGGAGGCAGCAGUGGGGAAUUUUGGACAAUGGGCGCAAGCCUGAUCCAGCCAUGCCGCGUGUCUGAAGAAGGCCUUCGGGUUGUAAAGGACUUUUGUUAGGGAAGAAAAGGAUAGUGUUAAUACCAUUAUCUGCUGACGGUACCUAAAGAAUAAGCACCGGCUAACUACGUGCCAGCAGCCGCGGUAAUACGUAGGGUGCGAGCGUUAAUCGGAAUUACUGGGCGUAAAGCGAGCGCAGACGGUUUAUUAAGCAAGAUGUGAAAUCCCCGAGCUUAACUUGGGAACUGCGUUUUGAACUGGUAAGCUAGAGUAUGUCAGAGGGGGGUAGAAUUCCACGUGUAGCAGUGAAAUGCGUAGAGAUGUGGAGGAAUACCGAUGGCGAAGGCAGCCCCCUGGGAUAAUACUGACGUUCAUGCUCGAAAGCGUGGGUAGCAAACAGGAUUAGAUACCCUGGUAGUCCACGCCCUAAACGAUGUCAAUUAGCUGUUGGGGCACUUGAUGCCUUAGUAGCGAAGCUAACGCGUGAAAUUGACCGCCUGGGGAGUACGGUCGCAAGAUUAAAACUCAAAGGAAUUGACGGGGGCCCGCACAAG